AUAAAGGCUCACACUCCAUAGAACUAAACCUUUGACUAAGUCCUAAAAACAUACAAGCGGUUCACCUUUCAAGUGCUGCACAAACAUUAACUUAUGCUUGAACACCCCACUCUGGUAUCUCAGUUGUAACACUCCUGAUAUUAAGAUGGGAAAUAGGAGUUAAGCAAUUUGCUCAAAGGCAUGAAGUGAAUCAUUGGCAGAGCAAAAUAGAAACAAAAAAAUCAGAACUUUGAAGUUCUUGCUCACAGCCUUGUUUGCACUCAGAUUGUGCAACUACACCAUGUCAGACCUACUGCUAGAACUGGCCGUAGAAAUUUUACCCCUUUCUCCAGGGACCUUUCUGGAAUUAUCUUGAAUUUGCAGAUUCCUGACAUCCUCAGUCUUGAUGAUCAUCAUAAAUAUCUAUGUUCAGAUCUAAGCCACAGCUACUCACAACAACUGGACUAGUGGGGCUACAGUUUCCUGCAACAUUACAAAACCCAACACCUUGGAAUGGCUGGAGUAUGGGAGAUCCAGGCUGCUGUGACAUUUUCUUCCCAGUGUCUUCAGCAGAAACUCCAAUGUAUCCUGAUAUGGACCCUAUGAAAAAAAAACAGAGACUCAAGCUGCACUAAAGAAUACCAAAAGUAGAAGAAAACAACAAAUACACAUCAGCAAAGAUGGCCCAUUUAUUGAGGUGUAAUGAACUAUAAUAUUUUUGGAAUGCAUCAUAAAAAAUAUGUAAUCUCCAAUAUCUUAAAAUGAUAUGCUUCAGAAAAUGCACGAGUGCUUAAAAAAGAAUAAACUGAAGAAAAUCUGUAAAAUUAUGCUAGUUACAGCUCACAUAUACAAAUGAGAUUAUAACAUGAGUAAUUUGGUUACAGGAAUCAAAGCUAUUCCACACAAAAGGCUUUAAAUAUUUUUCCUUAAACAGUUGUGAUGCCUGUCUGCUUUCCCAGCUUUGUUAUAUUUCUUCUUUAGCUUUGCCACUUCAACUCAAAAGCUGCAAUAAGACUUGGCGUGACAUAACAUUCAAGUGAUAUGGACAAACAUGCACUUACAGCAUCUUCAAAAGGGGAAGGAAAGCUAAUGCUUCCAAACAGGCAGCAGGUGUUAUGCUGUUACAUGUGCAGGAUCCUAUAGCGAUACAAGGGAGCUAAAUUGUACCAACCUUAAUCUUGGAUGAAGGAGCUUUGAAUUCGGAGUCAUUUUACUACACUUGUAUCCUGACAGGCUCAUGCACAGAUGACAGUUACAGAGUAACAGCUGCUUCCGGGCUGCCAGCAGAAACUCCCCCUCCCUUCUCAAAGCUGCUACAAGCAGCUUUAACUCAAAGUCAGGUGUUGCUCUCUCAACCCCGCCGCUCCCUGCAUGUAAACUGUGCAGGUGUAUUUGUUA